GUGUUAGUUAUGUUCUUUAAACCUAAAGAAUUUGGCGGUAUUUUAGUCUAUUCAGAGGAAUUUGCUCUUUAAUCGAUAGUCCUCGUUUUAUCUUUCUUUAUUUUGUAAUCAGUAUGUAUAUCGCCGUUAUAAGUUUAUUUUUAUAGAAUUUUAAUUUACUUAUUAUUUUAUUAUAUUAUAUUUCAGGUCAAGGUGCAGCUAAUGAUAAAGUAAGUAGUGAAUUACAAUAUUAUUUAAGUAAAUGGAUUUUUGGUUUAAAGCUUAGAUGAAGGUGGAUUUGUUAGUAAUUUUAAUUAUAAUGUUAAUUUGAUUUAUAGCUCUAUAAUAAGUACACAUCGCCCGUCGCUCU
rnacentral:rRNA from 1 species